UCUGAGGCAGAACUGGUCUUUAAACGUGCCCACACUGAAGCGUUGCGUGCAGCACAAGGCAGGCGCUUUGUCCCUGCAAAGGGUUAAGCGCACUCUUGCGCAGGAACGUGCCAUCCAAGGCGUAUUCCUUGGGAGGGAGGGGAUUUGCACAGGGGACGGGCCGUCCGCACGGGCCCCUGGAGCAGACAUGCUGAGCUCAGCGAUUUUGCAAGCCUGCUGAGAAGCAGGGGCAGGGGGUUGCCGGCGGUUCAUCAGGCCGACAGGAGGCGGAGACAGUAACAAGCGCCUCGGGAAGAUCAGCUGCUGUCGGAGAGGGCGGUGCAGGGAGGGCACCUUCCGAUGAACUGCGUGCGGCCGUAGGGCCAGGCAAGGGCGCUCCCCGACAGCGGCAGGAGUUAGAGAAUAGCUGGGGGGCACCAGGCGGUGCCGGGGAGCUGGGAAUGCAGCACGCCGUGCCGGAGAGCUAAGGCCUAGGAGUGGACAGAUAGGAGGAGCCCAGGGAGCAGCUGUGCUUCGGUUUCACUCUGUACAAAGGGGGGAACCCGUGAGCGCUACAGAUUUGCGCUGGAGGAGAGCUAGUUAGUAAAUACUCCCAUGCCAACCUUCGUAGGCCGGGCAGCACUUGCUGGGGUUUGUGGAGAGUUGGCUGGUCACCUGGUGCCGAUUGUUUCCCAGCUAUUAAGUCGCAUUAAGACGUACAGAAAUACAUAAAAUACGUUCCUAGCGCCUCUUUCCCUGCAGUCAGUUGCUGUAGUCGCUUCAAAGCUGCCCAUGAAUGGAAGGGGUGGGGUCCAGGAUACAGCCUGCCUAAGGAGUGUAUGUGGCUGGGGAAAGGAGCACAAACAGAGCCCAAGCUUCAAUCGUUAGGGAGUAUAUAGCUCGUGCAGGGCUGCAAGGCCAACAGGGCAUAUCACAUAAUUCAGAUACGGGAAACACCCUAAGAUGUAUCCUGCAAGUGAAUGCAAAGACCUGUCCCCUACCUGCAGCCAUAUGGUGCCUGCAGGCGGGAGCCACAAGAACUCCAAGGAACAGCCUCAGGCUGUGCAUGCAGCAGAUUAGGAAAGGAGCCCAAAGGUGCAGCUCAAACUGUGAAUAGCUUUGAAUGGUAGGAUCCUGCUGAGUACCACCAAGCCAGUUCACAGAGGAGGGGAGGCUGGGGAAAGGGAGGAGCCCAGCUGCCAUGAUGGGGAAAGGAAGAAAGCAAGCCCAACUACCAGGGUUAGGUGGGGUUGAAGAGGAGCUGGAGGGAGGAGAGCCCUGAACAUGAUAAGAAAUGUGGAUGGCCCAGGGGAAACAGACUGUUGGAGAUGGCCAGCACAGAUUUCAAGCCUCGAACUGGCACUGAGGGAAAAUUUUCAAAAUACUGCUCCCCCACCCUCAAAUUAAGGGGAUUCAUAGGGAAAUAAAAACAAGGGGCAGGACAGCACAGAGGCAGUUUGCCAGCAGUGAGCCUGAAGGGAGACACCCUGCCCAGCCAGUCCCCAUGAAUACUAAUACCUCAAAGCCGGCCGGCCAGCCAGCAAAAUCCCCAAAGUUAUCCUGAUAGAGAAAGGGGUGUUGUGAGAUUCAGAUACAUGAGAUACAUUUUUCUGGGGGAAAUGAUUUGGACUCAAAACAGCAAAGGUAUCCAGGUCCUGAAUGAUUGAUAUUACCUGGCCAGUUCAGGCACGUACACUCCAUUGUGAGUAUAAAUGAUUGGGUUUUUUAAAAUAACCUUCCCUUCCCCUUUAAACAAACAGAUUAUUCGCCAAGCCUUUAAAACGUACUGUAUUUCAUAAGUUACAGAAACCAGGCCCUGCUGAAUUAUUAACAAAUGUCUACCCUGCAGAAGACUAAAAGGAUUUACAGUUUUGUGGUUGCAACUUAUUGGAUACUAUUACAGAGCCACCUGGUGUGGAUUUAAAAAAACAUGAUGCACCUGGGAACACACUGAUAAAUGGCAGCAUAUUUAAAAAUCAAUCCCGAGUGUUGUAUAUUUGUGUUGUCUUUCAACACCAGUGAUCCCAAAGCUUUCAGCCUGAGGAUGGAGUGAACCCCAACAACUGCUCUAUUGGCUUGUACCUCCACUCAUCUGCUUCCAGUUCUUCCACUAAACCAGCUAGUUUUUCCAUCCGAGCAACUUGUUGAUCUACAAGAAGUGCAAAGAUAAACGUUUGCAAUAACAUUUCACUUAAAUCUUUUAAUUAGAUGUAUUAUCCUUUGCAGCAGGGAUGUCCUUCCCUAAUAAUCCAGGCACUGGAAAACAGUUUUGCUCCACUGUGUCAGACUAGUCUGAACAUUAAAAAAUCCCCAUGUAUUGAUAUUUUCCCUAUAGAAGCAAAGACUUUAUCAGAUCAUACAAGAGAACAGACUUCAUUAACCUUCUUCAAGGACUAAAAAUAUAUGUCCAGUGUGGGACAGGAGAUGUAUCUGCAACUCCCUGAACACACUGAGGCACUAAUGUGGAUCAAAGACCACAAGAGGGAAACACAGACUUCUUAGCCUCACAUUGUUUUCAGCUUCUUACACUAUUUUCUUUAGCAUAAAUAACUGGAGGCCUUAAAUGCAACUCAGUGGUAUUUCUCUGUAUGUAUAUAACAUAAAGUUUGACCGUUGCAGCUGAUCAAUUCCAGAGAAUGUUCUAGGCAUCAAUGGCCAGAAUCCUACUGAUCUGGGGGAAAACUUAAAGGGGAGAAAUGAGAGGACACCUGGAGACCCUGCCAUCUGAUAGCACAGCCACAGAUUCUAGUACCUCUUCUAUAGAUCAAACAGUUGCUAGAUGGAACCCAUUAAUAGCCUCCAUCAUAACAAUAUCCCAUCCCAUCUCAUCUCUGAUCAUGCUCCCAAUAGACUUUAACAUGUUGACAUUGUGAAUGACUUAUCUCCCACACCAAUAAUAAUGGGGAGUAUGGAGGUACACACAAAGUCCCUGACAUGAGGAUGGGAAAUAAGGAACACACACACCACCUUUGGCAGGGGGGAGAAAUCAGGGGAGUGGUGGUGCAGUGUAAAUGCUUCAGCUGGAGCCUGGGACCUCCCCCCUCAGAGGGUCCUGGAGCUUGGGCUCCAGCCCAAGCCUGAAUAUUUACACCACAAUUUUACAGCCCCUCAGCCCAAGCCCUGCAAACCUGAUUCAGCUGACACAGGCGUUUAACUGCAGGGUAGACGGGCUUAAGGCCAGAAAGUGAGUCUGUAUUACAGCCAAGAUUAGAAUUUGUAAGGUUCCCACUCUCUGCCCACUGUUCAGACCUCACCACUUGUGUAUAUACAGUACAGCACAGAGCAAUGGAAAAUGAGGUUAGAAAGUCUCUGCUCCCACCCCCACACUGUGUGAAUUUAAUUCAAUAUUUGCACCAUGUUUGAAAAAGGACCUAACAAUAGCCUCAGUUAGUGCUAAUUCAGGAAGUUAAUUUAAAUAGCCAUUCUGCUUUUUGUGGUUCACUGCACAAUAUGUUGUUGACCUUUGCUAUAUCCUCCUGCAGCUUUCUCAGUAAACUUAUACACACGCUCACAAAACAUAUAAUACUUGAGUGCUUACCAUGUUUCACUUGCUUUAAUGUAGAGGCAACCUGAUAGCUGAAAACGGAUUCACAAAGAAAUCUUUCGGAGCCAUCUGUAAACGGAAGAGAGAGUGAUUUAAUCUUUCCUAAGUUCUAUGACUGAGAAGCUUUCUAUAAUUUUUAUAUUCAGAAUGUGCUUUUCCUCUGUUCACCUACUUUAGACACUUGUCCUAUUCUGGUAACAUGCAGCACUUUGGUCUCUGGGCCAGGAAGCCGUGGGUUGAAGUCCCACACCAGGGCUUUGACUUAUACCCAGUGCUGACAUGGAAAUGGAGCACAGAGUGGGUGUGCUGCUGCACUGUUUGGUAUCAUGGUACCCCUUUUGCCUGUUUCUGAUGGUUGCUGUCAAGAUGGAUAUGAAAGAUGCUAUGGCAUUUUGAUUAAAAAAAAUCUUGGUCUCUGUGCCAACAAGCUUUUCCUUAAUAAAAGGAACUUGAAUCAUC